rnacentral:rRNA from 1 species
CCCUUAGAUGUCCUGGGCCGCACGCGCGCUACACUGAGUGUCUGAGAUACGAGUCUGCCUGGUCCGGCAAGGUCUAGGUAAUCGCUAAAAGACACAUCAUGCUUGGGAUAGAUUAUUGCAAAUAUUAAUCUUGAACGAGGAAUUCCUAGUAAGCGCGAGUCAUCAGCUCGCGUUGAUUACGUCCCUGCCCUUUGUACACACCGCCCGUCGCUACUACCGAUUGAAUGGUUUAGUGAGAUCUUCGGAUUGGCGCCUACGCGGCUUCUCUGAGGCCACGCUGGAUGCCGAAAAGUUGCUCAAACUGUAUCAUUUAGAGGAAGUAAAAGUCGUAACA